rnacentral:tRNA from 1 species
AGCGGGUAUAGCUCAGUGGUAGNNUGGUAGAGCGCAACCUUGCCAAGGUUGAUGUCGCGCGUUCGACUCGCGUUACCCGCUU